rnacentral:rRNA from 1 species
GAUGAACGCUAGCGGGAGGCUUAACACAUGCAAGUCGUGGGGCAGCAUGGUGUAGCAAUACACUGAUGGCGACCGGCGCACGGGUGAGUAACGCGUAUGCAACCUACCCAGUACAGGGGGAUAGCCCGGAGAAAUUCGGAUUAAUACCCCAUAAUGAUAUUAAGUGGCAUCAUUUGAUAUUUAAAGUUUCGGCGGUACUGGAUGGGCAUGCGUAAGAUUAGCUAGUUGGUAGGGUAACGGCCUACCAAGGCUCCGAUCUUUAGGGGUCCUGAGAGGGUGAUCCCCCACACUGGUACUGAGACACGGACCAGACUCCUACGGGUGGCAG